rnacentral:rRNA from 1 species
ACACGGACCAAGGAGUGCAACAUGCGUGCGAGUCCCGGGGUGGCAAACCCGUCGGCGCAAUGAAAGUGAAGGCAGCGCUCUGAGGCCUGCUGUGGCGAGAGCCGCCCCCGUGCGGCGCAUCGUCGACCGAUCCCUGUGCCACGCUGUGGUGGGAUUUGAGUGAGAGCGUGCCUGUUGCGACCCGAAAGAUGGUGAACUAUGCCUGAAUAGGGUGAAGCCAGGGGAAACGCUGGUGGAAGCUCGCAGCGAUUCUGACGUGCAAAUCGAUCGUCAAAUUUGGGUAUAGGGGCGAAAGACUAAUCGAACCGUCUAGUAGCUGGUUCCCUCCGAAGUUUCCCUCAGGAUAGCUGGAGCCCGGUGCAGUUUUAUCAGGUAAAGCGAAUGAUUAGAGGUCUCGGGGCUGAAACGGCCUCGACCUAUUCUCAAACUUUAAAUGGGUAAGAGGCCCGGCUUGCUCGGUUGAAGUCGGGCGCUGGAAUGCCGGGGCUCCCAGUGGGCCAUUUUUGGUAAGCAGAACUGGCGAUGUGGGAUGAACCGAAAGCCGGGUUAAGGUGCCGGAAUCGACGCUCAUGAGAUCCCAUGAAAGGUGUUGGUUGAUACAGACAGCAGGACGGUGGCCAUGGAAGUCGGAACCCGCUAAGGAGUGUGUAACAACU